CGCGUGGGGAUUUGCCUUCUGGUACGGGAUAACGUUUGGAAACGAACGCUAAUACCGUAUGAUAUCUACGGAUUAAAGAUUUAUCGCCAGGAGAUGAACCCGCGUAGGAUUAGAUAGUUGGUGGGGUAAUGGCCUACCAAGUCGACGAUCUUUAGCUGUUCUGAGAGGAAGAUCAGCCACACUGGAACUGAGACACGGUCCAGACUCCUACGGGAGGCAGCAGUGGGGAAUAUUGGACAAUGGGGGCAACCCUGAUCCAGCCAUGCCGCGUGAGUGAAGAAGGCCUUAGGGUUGUAAAGC
rnacentral:rRNA from 1 species